CCCAGGAUCACUGCUCCUGCUCCACGUAGCAAGUGUCCUGACCGGCUGCAUCACAGUCCGGUACGGCUAUUCCAGUAGCAGACUUGGCCCAAUCCAUCACAGACACGUCCCUCACCAUCAGGAGUAUCUACAGGAGGCAACGUCAACCAUCCUGGCCGCACCAUCUUCUCACAGCUGCCAUCGGGCAGGAGGUACAGAAGACCGAAGUCCCACACCACCAGGUUCAGGAACAACUACUUCCCUUCAACCAAAUUAUCACAUACUGAUAUUGCUCUAGCUCUCAAGUACUCGGCAAAUCAAGAAUCACUGAUGCGCCUUGGCAGCAUGCCCUGAAAAGCAAGCACAUUCCUUAUUUUAAGAUCUACAACCCUGCAAGACAGACUCUAACUUUCAUAUCACAGGAUCAGUUCUGGGACUAACCGCAAGUGCUUUCACAGAAGGUCCAAUGGUACCUCUACCUUCUUACAGGUUUGCUCAAUUCAGCAUGACAUCUGAAACGGCUUCUAUAGAUGCACAGUGGAGAGUAUCAUCAGCCUGGUAUGGAAACAGAGUGAAUGAAUAACUUCACUCAGCUCAACACUGAUCUGACUCCACAACUUAGCCCAAAGUCAGAAUCCAGUCAGCAGGUCCUGCAGACCAACACCUGGAUCGGUGGGUCUGGAGUCUGUGAAUCCAGGCCAGGGGCCAGAAGCUGAUUGUAGACACAGAUUGAUUGUAUUUCAUAAAGUGACGCCAGGCACAGGAGUGUCUGUACACAAGGUGACUGACAGGAAAUGAGAAAGUAGUGGUGGUUGGGAUGGGUGAGUGGGUGGUGGCGUCAAUCAGUCUCACUGCUUGGGGAG